rnacentral:rRNA from 1 species
AGUGAACGCUGGCGGUAGGCCUAACACAUGCAAGUCGAACGGCAGCACAGUAAGAGCUUGCUCUUACGGGUGGCGAGUGGCGGACGGGUGAGGAAUACAUCGGAAUCUACUUUUUCGUGGGGGAUAACGUAGGGAAACUUACGCUAAUACCGCAUACGACCUACGGGUGAAAGCAGGGGAUCUUCGGACCUUGCGCGUUUGAAUGAGCCGAUGUCGGAUUAGCUAGUUGGCGGGGUAAAGGCCCACCAAGGCGACGAUCCGUAGCUGGUCUGAGAGGAUGAUCAGGCACACUGGAAAUGAGACACGGUCCAGACUCCUACGGGAGGCAGCAGUGGGGAAUAUUGGACAAAGGGCGCAAGCCUGAUCCAGCCAUACCGCGUGGGUGAAGAAGGCCUUCGGGUUGUAAAGACCUUUUGUUGGGAAAGAAAAGAAGCAGGUUAAUACCCCGCUGUUCUGAAGGUACCCAAAGAAUAAGCACCGGCUAAAUUCGUG